rnacentral:lncRNA from 1 species
CGCUUGCUCUCGUUCCUAGGGUUUGGCCUGCAGUGGACGAGCAUCGCAUAGCCUGCGGGGCUGGAUGCUGACCGCCCGGGCCAGCACCUAGGCGGACGCGGAGCUGUGCAGACCAGGGUUCGCGCGGGCCGGGUGGAGGCUCAAGCGGGGACCCCGGAGCGUGAGCCCCGGAGUCGGCGGCGCUGGGGCCAGAGGGGCCGGGAGGGAGUCGGCUGAGGUGGCGGCGGAGGCGAAGUGGCGGCGGAGGCGAAGGGGCGGCGGGACCCGGGCCUGGCCCGUAUGUGUCCUUGGCGGCCUAGACUAGGCCGUCGCUGUAUGGUGAGCCCCAGGGAGGCGGAUCUGGGCCCCCAGAAGGACACCCGCCUGGAUUUGCCCCGUAGGCCCGGCCCGGGCCCCUCGGGAGCAGAACAGCCUUGGUGAGGUGGACAGGAGGGGACCUCGCGAGCAGACGCGCGCGCCAGCGACAGCAGCCCCGCCCCGGCCUCUCGGGAGCCGGGGGGCAGAGGCUGCGGAGCCCCAGGAGGGCCGGAGCCCUCAUGACUUCAGUGACCUGCUUCUGCCCCUCUAGGUCUAUCAGCCACAGUCUCUGCAUGUUUCCAAGAGCAACAGGAAAUGAACACAUUGCAGGGGCCAGUGUCAUUCAAAGAUGUGGCUGUGGAUUUCACCCAGGAGGAGUGGCGGCAACUGGACCCUGAUGAGAAGAUAGCAUACGGGGAUGUGAUGUUGGAGAACUACAGCCAUCUAGUUUCUGUGGGGUAUGAUUAUCACCAAGCCAAACAUCAUCAUGGAGUGGAGGUGAAGGAAGUGGAGCAGGGAGAGGAGCCGUGGAUAAUGGAAGGUGAAUUUCCAUGUCAACAUAGUCCAGAACCUGCUAAGGCCAUCAAACCUAUUGAUCGGAAGUCAGUCCAUCAGAUUUGCUCUGGGCCAGUGGUACUGAGUCUAAGCACUGCAGUGAAGGAGUUAGUAGAAAACAGUCUGGAUGCUGGUGCCACUAAUAUUGAUCUAAAGCUUAAGGACUAUGGAGUGGAUCUCAUUGAAGUUUCAGACAAUGGAUGUGGGGUAGAAGAAGAAAACUUUGAAGGCUUAACGAUGUCACCAUUUCUACCUGCCACGCGUCGGUGAAGGUUGGGACUCGACUGGUGUUUGAUCACGAUGGGAAAAUCAUCCAGGAAACCCCCUACCCCC